AUACAGAAGGUUUGCCAUGCCACGUGAAUGACAUCAAGAGCCACCAUGAACUGUGUCUAGUAGAUGUUUUGUGCCUCACAGAAACUCACCUACAAGGCUCCUUUGUUGCAGACAGUCUCCAUUUAGAGGGCUACACUAUGUUCAAACGUAACAGACACCUGUCCUACACAAAUGUUCCACAGAUGGCCAACAAACGUGGUGGUGGCGUUGCUGUUUAUGUGAAAGAGCACAUUCAAGUAUGUGAAAAACAGUACAUUCAUAAUGUCACUGACCUUGAGUUUUUGGCUCUGAAGGUUGAAACACCAGUGAGUGCUUUGCUUGCAGCUGUGUACAGACCUCCGGACUACAGUGUGACAUAAUUUCUGUCAAACCUGGGAAGCCUGUUGGACUCAUUGGAGAUCAUGGAUUGCCAUCCUAUCAUUGUCUGUGGGGAUUUCAACGAGAAUCACUUAUCCAACGCAAGCAAGCCAAUCCUUGAGCUGUUUCAGUCCCAGGGAUAUGUACAACUUAUCACUGCUGCCACCACAGAUAAGAACACACUUCUGGACCUCAAUUUCAUCUCUAAACCGGAGCACUGUCUCCACUCUGGUGUGAUUAGAACCUAUUACAGUUAUCAUAAUCCUGUAUACUGUCAUGUCCUCUAACAGUCCAUAAAGAUGGCAGCAUAUAUUAAUAACAGUUUGCUUUAAAAGACAAAAUUAUUGAAACCUCCAAUGGUCUAAUAAUUUAAAGGUGUUUUUGUUGCAGCUGUACCUGAUAAUUUUUUCAGCACAGUUAUCAGGUAAAACAAAAAUCCACUGAGCAUUAUGUUGUGUUUUUUUUUAGGAUAACUCAUUGUUGUUGAACUCGGUUUAUCUUGCUAUGUAAUGUAAACCCAAUUUUGCAGUUACACAGCAUAUUAUUGUACUUACUUUAAUAAGCAUAGUAAGACAUAUUGUUUGGUAAUUUUAACUUUUGGUAGUAUUGGAUAAUGUGGUCACAUUAGGCAACCAUAUUGUUAUGAGAUAUAUUUACAACAUAUCUUGGGCUGUACAGCCCUAAACAUUCAUACAGCAUUGCACACAUCUGCUAUUAUUUUGUGUAGCAGAAAUACAUCAGAAAGUAUGUUCUGUAUAUGCAACACACACUUUCUGGUAUAUUGGUACCUACCAGCUCAAACCCCACAUUUAUAUGCCACCCAGUUUCAGGGUGGGUGGCUGUUAUAGACUAUAACUCAUGUAGGUUUACUUUCCCCUGGAUGAGAGACACAGUUUUCCUGUGUCCUCUGUGAGGACACCUCCAGCUUUGGCCUCACAUCCUUCAUCACUGUGAAGAACGACAACUACCAACAAAAGGAUGUAGCAACAGCUCUCUCCAUCAACAAUGGACAGACAAUCACUGUUGGACCUCACAGGGACACCUUUUCCUUCAUGCUAGUCCCAGUCAUUCUUCCAAGCAGAGGAUGAGAUAACACCUGCCUGCCUUUGUCUCACCUUCUCUCUCUCGCUCUAAAACUGAAAAAAUGGACCACACUGCCUGCUUUCCACCUGACAGCGCUGAAGAGUCUUCACAACAGAAGGACUGCUACAUUCUCCUACGUCCACAUCUUCACAUCCAAUGCUGUCCACAGUUCAGUAGAGCCUAAGCACUUAUUUUUGUGACCAGUUUUACUAUAAAGGAACAAUUUUUUGGAGUGCCGCUGUCCUAGUUUCUUCUUUUCAGCAGAGCCUAAGUACUGUUGAUGUUUGGCGAGUGAUCAGGUGAACUGAUGCAGGGAACAAAACUUAACGAUGAUCAUUCAUUAGUCAGUCAUCACUAUCACAAGAUCCCUUUUUGACCAAAGAACUAACAAAAACUGUUUGUGGUUGCUAUUUGAAUUAGGAAUGCAAGGCAUUAUGGUUUUUUUUUUUUUUUAAAGACUUUUCCAUGUAAGGCCUCUGCUCCUCCAUGUCACAACAGUAAUGCUGUCCUCACACCAAAGACUGGCCAGAUACCUGAAAUCAGCAGUUCUACAGCCCCUGGAUCAUCAAAGGUCACGAUUGUUCCAGUCCCUUACAUCUUCACAAGUACACUUUGCUCUGUUAAGAGUUUUGGUUUGUGCCAACAAUGGACAGAUUAAACAAUUAGCAAUUUACGCUACUGACCCAUGGACACACAUUCUAGGACACCAAUUUUUUUUGGUACAUUGAUAAUAUAUUUCACAAAAUUUUUUAAUUAUUAGUAUGGGGUUUUGAGCUGGUAGACAUAUUAAAGGAUUAAACCAUUGAAAUAUA